GGUUCUAUGGUGCAAUUGGAAGCACAUACGUUCUCAUCGUGGGGAAUUUAAGAUGUGGGUUCGAGUCCCACUGCAGCUC